UGAAUCACCAUAACAUGAAUUAAAACUCUACCUUUACGUCGUGAUUCACAUUGUGAGCAAUUUUCCAAAAUCUUCGAAAUCUUGAAUUCUUCAAUCUUCAUCAAUCCGCUUCGAUCCUUCAAGACUCCGACUUACUUUACGAAACUUGCCAAUACAAAAUCCUUAACAAUCUCCCUCUUUGGCAAUUUCGUGACAAAACUCACAUAACUCAAAAAUACAUAAAAUAUUCGAAGUUCAAUUGUCAUCACCAAAAUAUUGAACUCCUCGCGUGUAAUCCAAAUACAAUUUGAAACUCAAGAUUACAACAAAAACUCCUAAAACAGACUCUAUGACUUAGACGCAACUAGGAGUCUUGAAGUCUUGAUUUCCUUCUCCCCCUUUGUUCACAUCCCGAUCACAUCUCCCCCUUUGUUCUUGAACUCAUCAUCCUCUGCUUUAGUUCAAUGCCUGUUCAUCCAUGCUCUCCC
rnacentral:lncRNA from 1 species